rnacentral:rRNA from 1 species
UAGAAUAAGCCAGCAGUUAAAGAAAGCGUAACAGCUCAGUCGGCGAUGCGGCCAGUGCGGAAGAUGUAACGGGGCUAAGCCGUGAACCGAAGCAGCGGCAGCGACACUGUGGGUUGUUGGGUAGGGGAGCGUUCUAUAAGACAGUGAAGGUGGCCUGUGAAGGUCGCUGGAGGUAUCAGAAGUGCGAAUGUUGACAUAAGUAACGAUAAAGGGGGUGAAAAGACCGCUCGCCGGAAGACAAAGGGUUGCUGUACAACGUUAAUCGGGGCAGGGUGAGUCGACUUCUAAGGCGAGGCUGAAAGGCGUAGUUGAUGGGAAACAGGUUAAUCUUCGUGUAGUUGGUGUUAUUGCGUAGUGGGGACGGAGCAGGUGUUGUUGUCCGGGCGGCGGUUGUCCUGGUUUGUGGGUGUCGG